GGAGGCAGGAGCCAUGCCCAUUCUCUCUGAAUUACGGAUCGAUGAGUGUUCUAGUCUGAAGAUGCUUCCAGAGGGAUUGAGUGACAUUUCUACUCUUCGGGAACUGCAUAUCUAUGGAGAAUUGGGAAAGAGGGUAUCAACAUAAGGAGAGGAUUUCCACAAAGUCUGCCAUGUCCCUUCAAUUAUCAUCUGAAACUACAAACCAGUCUAGUCUCCACCCGGGGUACUUUUCCACCCCGGCCCCCUUCGAGCUACAGUCUUGUUGUUUCAUGUCUCAAGUGUUUCUCUUUAAUUAUUUGCAUUCUUUUCUCUGCUUCCUUAUUUCGCUUUUAUCGCGUUUUUAAAAAAAUAAAUGUGUAUAUUUCUUUUGUACGUGGCUCCAAGCCUGACAUGGCCAUAUUCCAUUCCUCGUAAGAUUCUGGACAAUUUAUUCUAGACUUCUUAGUUCCAUAUGGUGUUAUUUUGGUAAGAUUCA